GAUGACGCCCGGUCCGCGUCCUCUUCGGUCAUUGGGCAGGUUUGGGAGUUGUCCCAGGACCCUCGUGGCUGCCGUCGAGUCCAGGAGGCGCUGGAAUUGGCCGCCACAGAGCAGGAUCGCCGCAUUUUGGCGACGGAACUCCACAGGCACG
rnacentral:SRP_RNA from 1 species